UACGGAGGGUGCAAGCAUUAAUCGGAUUUAUUGGGCGUAAAGGGCGCGUAGGCGGAGAUACAAGUCGGAUGUGAAAUCCCGGGGCUUACCCUCGGAACUGCAUUCGAAACUGUAUCCCUAGAGGGUAGGCGGAGAAAAUGGAAUUCCACAAGUAGCGGUGAAAUGCGUAGAUAUGUGGAAGAACACCGGUGGCGAAGGCGAUUUUCUAGCUUAUUCCUGACGCUAAAGCGCGAAAGCAAGGGGAUCAAACAGG
rnacentral:rRNA from 1 species